GUAGGUCCCAAGGGUAUGGCUGUUCGCCAUUUAAAGUGGUACGCGAGCUGGGUUUAGAACGUCGUGAGACAGUUCGGUCCCUAUCUGCCGUGGGCGCUGGAGAACUGAGGGGGGCUGCUCCUAGUACGAGAGGACCGGAGUGGACGCAUCACUGGUGUUCGGGUUGUCAUGCCAAUGGCACUGCCCGGUAGCUAAAUGCGGAAGAGAUAAGUGCUGAAAGCAUCUAAGCACGAAACUUGCCCCGAGAUGAGUUCUCCCUGACCCUUUAAGGUCCUGAAGGAACGUUGAAGACGACGACGUUGAUAGGCCGGGUGUGUAAGCGCAGCGAUGCGUUGAGCUAACCGGUACUAAUGAACCGUGAGGCUUAACCUUACAACGCCGAAGGUGUUU
rnacentral:rRNA from 1 species